CACCAGCGCCACGAGUGGCCACCGCGAUUAUUGGGCCUAAAGCGUCCGUAGUCGGGCAAGUGCAUCUUCUGUGAAAUCGCUGCGCUUAACGUAGCGGCAUGCGGAAGACACGGCUUGUCUUGAGAUUGGGAGGCGUCAGGGGUACUCCUGGGGGGAACCGGUGAAAAUGGUAUAAAUCCCAGGAAGACCACCUGUGGCGAAGGCGCCUGACGAGAACAAAUCUGACGAUGAGGGACGGAAAAGCCAGGGGGAGCAAACCGGG
rnacentral:rRNA from 1 species